rnacentral:piRNA from 1 species
UGUGUUUUGUUCCUAUCUCUCACUCAAGG